GAUGAACGCUAGCGGGAGGCCUAACACAUGCAAGCCGAGCGGGAUUUGAGACUAGCUUGCUAGUCUUAAUGAGAGCGGCGUACGGGUGCGGAACACGUGUGCAACCUGCCUUUAUCUGGGAGAUAGCCUUUCGAAAGGAAGAUUAAUAUCCCAUAAUAUAAUGAUUGGUAUCAAUUAUUAUUGAAAGCUCCGGCGGAUAGAGAUGGGCACGCGCAAGAUUAGAUAGUUGGUGAGGUAACGGCUCACCAAGUCGAUGAUCUUUAGGGGGCCUGAGAGGGUGAUCCCCCACACUGGUACUGAGACACGGACCAGACUCCUACGGGAGGCAGCAGUGAGGAAUAUUGGACAAUGGGUGAAAGCCUGAUCCAGCCAUCCCGCGUGAAGGAUUAAGGACCUAUGGUUUGUAAACUUCUUUUCUACAGGGAUAAACCUACUCUCGUGAGAGUAGCUGAAGGUACUGUAGGAAUAAGCACCGGCUAACUCCGUGCCAGCCGCCGCCGUAACAC
rnacentral:rRNA from 1 species